UCAGUCAGUCUCUUCUUUUCGAUUCAGCAUCAGUCAACUUGGGACUUUGAGGGUGCUAUUUCUCUUUUUGUUUUUUUUCCUUCUUUUCUUUCUUUUGAUUUCUUUUGAUUUUGCACCCUCUCCUUCCUUGUUUUUUUUUUAUUGAUUUUUUUUAUGCCCCAGUUGGCUGUUCUGCUGAUUCUCGGGAUGCAGCUGAGUGAUCUUCUUUUCUUGCUCAAGAAGUCGGGAAGUCUCGUCAGGAAUCCCUUCAACAUCAUCUUCUUCCGCUUCGAAUACAGGGAAUUCAAAAUUGGGAGAUGACGU
rnacentral:lncRNA from 1 species